rnacentral:rRNA from 1 species
AUUGCAGGCUGCAACUCGCCUGCAUGAAGUCGGAAUUGCUAGUAAAUCGCAGAUCAGCAUGCUGCGGUGAAUACGUUCCCGGGCCCUGUACACACCGCCCGUCACACCAUGGGAGUCGGAAAUGCCCGAAGUCUGUGACCGAACCGAAAGGAAGGAGCAGCCGAAGGCAGGUCGGAUGACUGGGGGUGAAGUCGUAACAAGGUACC